UACGAAGGGGGCUAGCGUUGUUCGGAAUCACUGGGCGUAAAGCGCACGCAGGCGGAUUGAUAAGUCAGGGGUGAAAUCCCCGGAGCUCAACUUCGGAAUUGCCUUUGAUACUGUCUAUCUUCGAGUUCGGGAGAGGUUGGCGGAAUUCCUAGUGUAGAGGUGAAAUUCGUAGAUAUUAGGAAGAACACCAGUGGCGAAGGCGGCCAACUGGCCCGAUACUGACGCUCAUGUGCGAAAGCGUGGGGAGCAAACAGG
rnacentral:rRNA from 1 species